UCCAAUUUGGGGAUAUUAGUUUUCAGAGGGAGACAGUGAAAAGAUCUCAUUCUGCUAGUAAUACUAACUUGUUGGAUGGAGACCUUGGUAGUGCAGUUGUUUGCGAGGAGGUAGCAGUGCCGGCUGUCUGUGGCAUUAGAGCAAUUUUGGUGUCUCCUGUCAACAGAAGAAAAUGAAUAGCCACUCAGUUGCUGGAUGAAGUGAGUGUUGCUGCCUCUUCAAUGUCUGCACUAAAGCAGCCAACCGUUCGAGUUCAGGCUAUCAUUGCUAAAGGUGUACCGAGUUAGAUGCUAAGCAAUUGAUUGUGGCUAUCAUUGCAUUAUUUUCUUAUGAUCGAGUUGUGGCUAUCAUUGCAUUAUUUGCUUCUGAAAAUUUGAGAAACUUCAUGUUGCAGAAACUAUUAGUACUAAAGAAUUAUGUCAACAUGUAAUAAGAAGAAUCACUAUAACAUAUCUGUUGUGUAUGUCUCACAAUGUGGUUAUCUAGGCUAUCAAAAAGUGGUUAAAACAGCUAGUGACCAUAACUGUUUUAACAAGAUUCCUCAAGUUCACUUACUUUGGUUCAGCUGCAGAGUUAGUUAAGUUGAUUUUUUAGUUUUGUUUUCGGGUUGGUUCUUUUGUAUUUUGGUGCACGUAUAUAAGUGAACCUUGCAUCAUUAUUUAUGUACACAGAUUUAGAGAGCACUAAGAGAAAAAGAAGAGAGAAAGAGAGAGUUCAGUGAGUUGUAGAGGUUGGAGUUAAAGAGAGAGCAUUAUUUAUGUACACUGUUGUUGAUGAUAGUGUUGAAUGUUUUAAACUAAUUUGUGGAUUUUUAAUACAAUGUUGAAUGUUCUUACUUUUUGUUAUUUGAAAAUCAAGUUCGUUUGA